CGAACGGGUGAGUAACACGUGGGCAACCUGCCCAAAAGAGGGGGAUAACACUUGGAAACAGGUGCUAAUACCGCAUAACCAUAGUUACCGCAUGGUAACUAUGUAAAAGGUGGCUAUGCUACCGCUUUUGGAUGGGCCCGCGCGCAUUAGCUAGUUGGUGGGGUAAAGGCUUACCAAGGCAAUGAUGCGUAGCCGAACUGAGAGGUUGAUCGGCCACAUUGGGACUGAGACACGGCCCAAACUCCUACGGAAGGCAGCAG
rnacentral:rRNA from 1 species